rnacentral:rRNA from 1 species
AGAGUUUGAUCCUGGCUCAGAAUGAACGCUGGCGGCAUGCCUAACACAUGCAAGUCGAACGAAUUACCUUCGGGUAGUUAGUGGCGCACGGGUGCGUAACGCGUGGGAAUCUGCCCCUUGGUUCGGAAUAACAGUUGGAAACGACUGCUAAUACCGGAUGACGACGUAAGUCCAAAGAUUUAUCGCCGAGGGAUGAGCCCGCGUAGGAUUAGGUAGUUGGUGUGGUAAAGGCGCACCAAGCCGACGAUCCUUAGCUGGUCUGAGAGGAUGAUCAGCCACACUGGGACUGAGACACGGCCCAGACUCCUACGGGAGGCAGCAGUGGGGAAUAUUGGACAAUGGGCGAAAGCCUGAUCCAGCAAUGCCGCGUGAGUGAUGAAGGCCUUAGGGUUGUAAAGCUCUUUUACCCGGGAUGAUAAUGACAGUACCGGGAGAAUAAGCUCCGGCUAACUCCGUGCCAGCAGNCGCGGUAAUACGGAGGGAGCUAGCGUUAUUCGGAAUUACUGGGCGUAAAGCGCACGUAGGCGGCUUUGUAAGUAAGAGGUGAAAGCCCAGAGCUCAACUCUGGAANUACUUUUUAGACUGCAUCGCUUGAAUCAUGGAGAGGUCAGUGGAAUUNCCNAGNGUAGANGGGAAAAU